AACGUAGGACACAAGCGUUAUCCGGAAUUACUGGGCUUAAAGGGCGUGCAGGCGGUUGCGUAAGUUAGGCGUGAAAGACUUCGGCUAAACCGGGGGAGGUCGUCUGAUACUGCGCAACUAGAGUAUGGUAGAGGCGUGUAGAAUUCCGGGUGUAGUGGUGAAAUGCGUAGAGAUCCGGAGGAAUACCAGUGGCGAAGGCGGCACGCUGGGCCAUUACUGACGCUAAGACGCGAAAGCAUGGGUAGCGAACGGG
rnacentral:rRNA from 1 species